AACGAACGCUGGCGGCAUGCCUAACACAUGCAAGUCGAACGAGACCUUCGGGUCUAGUUGCGCACGGGUGCGUAACGCGUGGGAACCUGCCCUUAGGUUCGGAAUAACUCCCCGAAAGGGGUGCUAAUACCGGAUAAUGUCUUCGGACCAAAGAUUUAUCGCCAUUGGAUGGGCCCGCGUUGGAUUCGCUAGUUGGUAGGGUAAUAGCCUACCAAGGCGACGAUCCAUAGCUGGUCUGAGAGGAUGAUCAGCCACACUGGGACUGAGACACGGCCCAGACUCCUACGGGAGGCAGCAGUGGGGAAUAUUGGACAAGGGGCGAAAGCCUGAUACAGCAAUGCCGCGUGAGUGAUGAAGGCCUUAGGGUUGUAAAGCUCUUUUACCCGGGAUGAUAAUGACAGUACCGGGAGAAUAAGCUCCGGCUAACUCCGUG
rnacentral:rRNA from 1 species